UGCACAGUAUACUGUCCAUGUCCAGAAAGGUAAUAAAAACAUCUUUAAAGUAGUCCAUGUGACAUCAGACAGUCACUCAAACUCCUUCAUCUCUUCCUCUGAUGUCAACAAAACAAAGGCCACAGCAGACCACUGACCAGGUGAAAGAUCA